rnacentral:rRNA from 1 species
UUCCGGUUGAUCCCGCCGGACCCCACUGCUAUCGAGGUGGGACUUAGCCAUGCUAGUCGAACGAACAGAACUAUGUCUGUAAGUGGCAUACUGCUCAGUAACACGUAGCUAACCUACCCUUAGGACGUCGAUAACCCCGAGAAAUUGGGGCUAAUAGGCGAUAGAUGUAUUGUCCUGGAAUGGUAAUAUGUCCAAAGGUAUCCCAUACAUGUUUGGUAUACGCCUAAGGAUGGGGCUGCGGCCGAUCAGGCUGUUGGUGAGGUAAUGGCUCACCAAACCUUUGACCGGUACGGGCCAUAAGAGUGGUAGCCCGGAGAUGGACACUGAGACAAGGGUCCAGGCCCUAAGGGGCGCAGCAACCGCGAAACCUCCACAAUGCACUCACGUGCGAUGGGGCUAUCUCGAGUGCCACCUGGUGAAGGUGGCUUUUCCUAGGUCUUCAAAGCCUUGGGAAUAAGAGGGGGGCAAGACUGGUGUCAGCCGCCGCGGUAACACCAGCCCCUCGAGUGGUGGGGAUGAUUAUUUGGCCUAAAGCGUCCGUAGCCGGCCGAGCAAGUCUUCCGUUAAAUCCAGCGUCUCAAGCGUUGGACUGCGGGAGAUACUACACGGCUAGAGAGUGGGAGAGGUCAGCGGUAUUCUGGGGGUAGGGGCGAAAUCCUUUGAUCCCCGGAGGACCACCAGUGGCGAAGGCUGCUGACUAGAACACGUCUGACGGUCAGGGACGAAAGCUGGGGUAGCGAAACCGGAUUAGAUACCCGGGUAGUCCCAGCCGUAAACGAUGCAUGCUAGGUGUUGGGUUGGCCACGAGCCACCCCAGUGCCGCA